CCGUUAGCCUGGUAGCGGGGGGUAACUAUUGGAAACGAUAGCUAAUACCGCAUAACAGUCGACAUUGCAUGAUGUUGAUUUGAAAGGGGCAAAAUGCUCCACUACCAGAUGGACCUGCGUUGUAUUAGCUAGUUGGUGAGGUAACGGCUCACCAAGGCGACGAUACAUAGCCGACCUGAGAGGGUGAUCGGCCACACUGGGACUGAGACACGGCCCAG
rnacentral:rRNA from 1 species